rnacentral:tRNA from 1 species
UCCCUCAUAGCUCAGUUGGUAAAGAAUCUGCCUGCAAUGCAGGAGACCCUGGAUUGAUUCCUGGGUGGGGAA